CUCCGGGGAUAACAGGCUGAUACCGCCCAAGAGUUCAUAUCGACGGCGGUGUUUGGCACCUCGAUGUCGGCUCAUCACAUCCUGGGGCUGAAGUAGGUCCCAAGGGGAUGGCUGUUCGCCAUUUAAAGUGGUACGCGAGCUGGGUUUAGAACGUCGUGAGACAGUUCGGUCCCUAUCUGCCGUGGGCGCUGGAGAAUUGAGGGGGGCUGCUCCUAGUACGAGAGGACCGGAGUGGACGCAUCACUGGUGUUCGGGUUGUCAUGCCAAUGGCACUGCCCGGUAGCUAAAUGCGGAAGAGAUAAGUGCUGAAAGCAUCUAAGCACGAAACUUGCCCCGAGAUGAGUUCUCCCUGAGACUUUAAGUCUCCUGAAGGAACGUUAAAGACGAUGACGUUGAUAG
rnacentral:rRNA from 1 species